rnacentral:rRNA from 1 species
ACGGGAGGCAGCAGUGGGGAAUAUUGGGCAAUGGGCGAAAGCCUGACCCAGCAACGCCGCGUGAAGGAAGAAGGCCUUCGGGUUGUAAACUUCUUUUAUCGUAGAGUAAACCUGGCCACGUGUGGCCAGCUGAGAGUAUACGAGGAAUAAGUAUCGGCUAACUCCGUGCCAGCAGCCGCGGUAAUACGGGGGAUACGAGCGUUAUCCGGAUUUAUUGGGUUUAAAGGGUGCGCAGGCGGAUCGGUAAGUCAGGGGUGAAAAGUUGGGGCUCAACUCCUAUCGUGCCUUUGAUACUGCCGGACUAGAGUGCGAUAGACGUGGCCGGAAUGUGAUGUGUAGCGGUGAAAUGCUUAGAUAUGUCGCAGAACACCGAUCGAGAAGUCAGGUCACGAGCUCGCAACUGACGCUCAGGCACGAAAGCGUGGGGAUCAAACAGGAUUAGAUACCCUGGUA